rnacentral:rRNA from 1 species
GACGAACGCUGGCGGCGUGCCUAAUACAUGCAAGUCGAACGAGAGCGACCGGUGCUUGCACUUGGUCAAUCUAGUGGCGAACGGGUGAGUAACACGUGGGUAACCUGCCCAUCAGAGGGGGAUAACAUCCGGAAACGGAUGCUAAAACCGCAUAGGUCUUCGAGCCGCAUGGCUUGAAGAGGAAAAGAGGCGCAAGCUUCUGCUGAUGGAUGGACCCGCGGUGCAUUAGCUAGUUGGUGAGGUAACGGCUCACCAAGGCCGUGAUGCAUAGCCGACCUGAGAGGGUGAUCGGCCACAUUGGGACUGAGACACGGCCCAAACUCCUACGGGAGGCAGCAGUAGGGAAUCUUCCGCAAUGGACGCAAGUCUGACGGAGCAACGCCGCGUGAGUGAAGAAGGUUUUCGGAUCGUAAAACUCUGUUGUUAGAGAAGAACAAGUGCUAGAGUAACUGUUAGCGCCUUGACGGUAUCUAACCAGAAAG